rnacentral:rRNA from 1 species
GACGAACGCUGGCGGCGCGCUUAACACAUGCAAGUCGAACGGAAAGGCCCUGCUUUUGUGGGGUGCUCGAGUGGCGAACGGGUGAGUAACACGUGAGUAACCUGCCCUUGACUUUGGGAUAACUUCAGGAAACUGGGGCUAAUACCGGCUAGGAGCUCCUGAUGCAUGGAGGGGGUUGGAAAGUUUCGGCGGUUGGGGAUGGACUCGCGGCUUAUCAGCUUGUUGGUGGGGUAGUGGCUUACCACGGCUUUGACGGGUAGCCGGCCUGAGAGGGUGACCGGCCACAUUGGGACUGAGAUACGGCCCAGACUCCUACGGGAGGCAGCAGUGGGGAAUAUUGCACAAUGGGCGGAAGCCUGAUGCAGCAACGCCGCGUGCGGGAUGACGGCCUUCGGGUUGUAAACCGCUUUCGCCUGUGACGAAGCGUUAGUGACGGUAAUGGGUAAAGAAGCACCGGCUAACUACGUG